AACUUUGUUUUAUGAUUGCAGUAUUUGUGGGAAAUAAAGCAAUGACAUGUCACUGAAAUAUAUGCAAAUAUUUAUACUUUUUAAAUGUUUUUUUUUCUUUUUUUUUUAACUAUAGGAUCAAUUUAUUUUGUGUUAUUUCACAUGACAGCUGUUUUUGUGUGAACUGGAAAUAAACCAACCAGUACUACUGGUGCGACUAGUGCGACUGGUGUGACUAGUGCUACUAGUGCAACUAGUGCUACUAGUAAAGGCCUAAAUGUCAACUAGUAGUACUAGUACUGUAGACAUUAGCAGUAUAUAUACGUAUAGCACGAUCUGUGGGGCAUUUGCAAGUAGUACAAUUUUUAACCUUCACUUUACAUAAUAAAAUUACAUUUUUAGGGCUCAUUUAUACGAUGGAGUAGAGCCAUCUUAAAGAAAAAAAGAGAAAAACAUUUGAGAUUAAUCUUGUAUAUGUACAAGAAUAAACAUGUAAAUUUAGGAGAAUAAAAAAAUGAUGAAAGGAGAACCCCUAAAGCAUUUUCCUCUGCCACAAAAGAGACAAUUUCAUCCAAUAUAUUUUCAGGGUCCUGAUAUUUUAUGACAGUGUGAUGAUGAUGUGCCGAUAAAACAACUUAUCGGAUAUAUUUGUCAAACUGUUUUUACAGACUACACAAGGAAGGAGCCUAUUUCCUUAUUUGUCAAACCUUUACUUUAACAAGAUGCUCCACAUUUAUCAUUUUCGAACAGGCGGUUGCUGCUCUUCUGAUAUAGACUUAAACAAGAAAUGAAUCUCGUACAUUUUACUUUAUUCUCAUAAAUUAACAAUUUUAAUCUCUAAAGGUUUAUAAGUUUUUUUUCCUUUUACGUGGCCCUAAUCUUGAAUCCCUUUAUUUUUCUUAGUUUACCGACUUUAGGCCAAAUUAAAACGUAUUAAGUACAAGAA